UGGCUGUCACAGCGUUCUGCCGGCCUCGCUGCAGCCCAUUUAUAGCCGCGGCGCUGGUCCCGGGCCAGGGCCCCGCCCCGUGGAGGCGGCGGCCGAGGAGGCGGGGACUGCGGGCACCGGUCGGGGAGGAGGGGAGGGGGGCGGCUGAGCGGUGAUUCAGCGCCCGCUCCACGUGGGCCCAGGCCGCAUGGGAACCCGGACUUUGCUGCCCUGGGCCCAGCCCCUCCCCCAGGUUCCCUUUCAGUCCCAGGCCACUUGUCGCCGGGCAGUCGCCUUCUCUCCAUUUCUCACUUUCCGAUUGCGUUUCGCACCCUUGGUACAAAUAUCGCCAGCGCCCUUUCUUUGCCCGUCACUGUCCCACCUUUCGGGCAGCGCUUCCCCGACCCCCUGGUCUCCUUGUUCUUUAGCCCUCUACCCUCUUACCCUCAAGCCUUUCUCUUCUUUUACCCUUUCCCCGAUACUUUUUUCUUUACCCAUCUUCUGUGCUUAAUCCCAUCCCCUUCUUUUUUGGCUCCUCUUCUCCUUCCUGCUCCGACCUUUAGUUCGCUUCACCCUGCUUUUCUCUCAGCCCCUUCCUCGCGGACCCUUUUCUUCCAAUCUUUCCUUCUCUCCGUCUCCUGCUUCCCCUCCCCCUGCAUUCCCUCUUCUCCCCUCCCCCACCCUCAUCUUUUCUUGCCUCCCUCCCCUUCCCCCACUCCUGUCUUAAAGCAGCUGGAGAUGAGCGCCAAGGAGCUGGGUCUAGAAGACAAAAAGAAAAGAAAAAAAAAGACUUUGAGGAACCGUCUGCCUGAAGGCUUCGGGAAGGGGACAAAGAGAACAGGCCAGGGUAGUUUUUUGUAUAAAAAGUGGGAUAUUGCGUUUUUAACGUUUGGGGGAUGUCCGCAGCUUCCGCAGGGGCAGAAGAGACGGGGUUUCACUAUGUUGCCCAGGUUGGUCUGGAACUCCAGGACUCACACAAUCUUCUAGCCUCGGCCUCCUAAGGUGCUGGGAUUACAGGUGUGAGCUAUCGUGCCUGGUCGAAUGAGGUAAUUCUUGACAAAAUAAAUAUGUGGCUAGCACAUCUUAACAUGCUUUGCUUGCUGUACUUUCUCUGUAGCAAGUGCUUGCUGUGCAUUAGCUUUCUUGUCCCCUUCGCCCCUUAGUAAUGGAGCCUGGAGGGAAUUUACUUGGGAACUCAAGUAUGCCAGCAAAGGAGACACAAUUGAUGAGGGUACUAAGCACACUGUUUGGGUGAUUUUUUUUUUUUCAAAACAAUAUCAUUAGAUCUUCACAUAUAGAGCUGGGAGAUAACGUAGUUCCUCUGACAGAUGUUAGACUAGGAUCCCAAAUGACCUCGUAUGGUGUGCCAGUGUCUUCUUCAUUUGCUCCAAGGACACAGCGUGAAUAGAAUACAUCUUGCCAUCAGCAAGGGUCCUCUCCUAGUUUUUCCCUCGCAUUUCAGAUGCUUGGCACCUGUAACCAGAUUUUCCCAGCACUGAGAGUCAGUGUGUCUUGAUGGAAUGAGCACUGGUUUGGGGUCAGAAGGUCUGCAUUGG
rnacentral:lncRNA from 1 species